rnacentral:lncRNA from 1 species
AGUUAGACAUGAAGAGUUGGUCGGACACUGUAAUCUGUAAUAGUAUAUUCCAUUUACGACUCAAGAAGGAAGCCACGUCUAUAAAGAACUAUAGUGUCAUUGCUAAGGCGUUUAAAGGAUUAAUUUUAGAAACAGAGUUAAAAUUCGUUAGGAACAUGUCUACUGGGCAAGACAACGGCAGUAGUUCAGACCCACAGCAACAAGUUAGAUGUAACCCUAGCAUUGAUCAACUGAAGAAAUCAAAAAGGCUAGUUAAGUCAGCACUUACUAGAUAUCAUACUUAUGCAUUUAGUAACAAUGC